rnacentral:rRNA from 1 species
UGGCGGCAGGCUACACUGCAGGUGAAGCGCGCCUUCGGGCGAGCGCCGGACGGGUAAGUAACGCGUGGGAACGUGCCCUUCUCUACGGAAUAGCCUCUGGAAACGGAGAGUAAUACCGUAUACGCCCUUUGGGGGAAAGAUUUAUCGGAGAAGGAUCGGCCCGCGUUAGAUUAGGUAGUUGGUGGGGUAACGGCCUACCAAGCCUACGAUCUAUAGCUGGUUUUAGAGGAUGAUCAGCAACACUGGGACUGAGACACGGCCCAGACUCCUACGGGAAGCAGCAGUGGGGAAUAUUGGACAAUGGGGGAAACCCUGAUCUUACCAUGUACGCGUGUACUUAUGAAAGGCCUUAGGGCGUAAAGCUCUUUAGACUGUGAUGGAUACUGACCCGGUAGCCAGGUUAAAGAAAAACCCCGGGGUAACUCCGUUGCCCAGCAAAGGCGCGGGAGACUACGAGAAGGAGGAGUUAGACGGUUGACUCCGGACAUUUACAUGGGGCGAUAAAAGCAGCGCCGCUAGAGUCGGUAUUAAGAAAAGGUAGGGAGGUGGAAACUCCCCGGGGCGUCAAAACCCGAGAAAAUGGCUUCCAAAAACUGGCUAGUCAUAGAGAUACAGAGAGACGGUGAGAUGGAAAAUCCGAAGUGUCGAGCGUGAACAUUCGUAGAAUAUCCGGAAGAACACCAUAUAGGGAAGGCGGGUACCUGGGCUCGAAACUGACGCUGAGGUGGCGAAGUGUGGGGAACAAACCGAUUAGAAACCCGGUAGUCCCACCGUAACGAUAAUGCAGACGCGGA